rnacentral:lncRNA from 1 species
UUGACUUGUGCCGCUAGAAAUCUUUAAUUCGCUCGAGAGAUGGGGGAGCGGCAGAUCAUCGAAAUCCAUGCGUUUGCGUUGGGUUCCCAGUGUUCUCACCCCCUGGCCAGCCAUUGGCACCACUGUACGGAAGAGCGCACUUUUUCAUUGUCCGCCACCUUUGCGCCCGUGAUUGCUGUCUCUUUAGUUUUUUGGCACCGCCUUGCCUGGCAUGCUGGAGUUGCGUAUGAUUUUUCCCAUGAAUUGCUUACCUCGGGGGGG